GACGAACGCUGGCGGCGUGCCUAAUACAUGCAAGUCGAGCGAAGUUUUUCUGGUGCUUGCACCGGAAAAACUUAGCGGCGAACGGGUGAGUAACACGUAAAGAACCUGCCUCAUAGACUGGGACAACUAUUGGAAACGAUAGCUAAUACCGGAUAAUAGCAUUAACUGCAUGGUUGAUGUUUAAAAGUUGGUUUUGCUAACACUAUGAGAUGGCUUUGCGGUGCAUUAGCUAGUUGGUGGGGUAAAGGCCUACCAAGGCGACGAUGCAUAGCCGACCUGAGAGGGUGAUCGGCCACACUGGGACUGAGACACGGCCCAGACUCCUACGGGAGGCAGCAGUAGGGAAUCUUCCGCAAUGGGCGAAAGCCUGACGGAGCAACGCCGCGUGAGUGAAGAAGGAUUUCGGUUCGUAAAGCUCUGUUGUUAGGGAAGAAUGAUUGUGUAGUAACGAGACACAGUAGAGACGGUACCUAACCAGAAAGCCACGGCUAACUACGUG
rnacentral:rRNA from 1 species